rnacentral:rRNA from 1 species
GACGAACGCUGGCGGCGUGCUUAAUACAUGCCAGUCGAACGGAAAGGCGCCGAUUUUGUGGGGUGGUCGAGUGGCGAACGGGUGUGUAACACGUGAGUAACCUGCCCCUGACUUUGGGAUAUCUCCUGGAAACUCGGGCUAAUAUCGGAUAGGAGAUUUCGCAGCGUGGUGGUGGUUGGUAAAUUUUGGCGGUUGUGGAUGGUCUCGCGGCCUAUCAGCUUUUUGGUGAAGUAGUGGCUGACCAGGGCUACGACGGGUAGCCGGCCUGGGAGGGGGACCGGGCACAAUGGGACUGAGGAAGGGCCCAGACUCCUACGGGAGGCAGCAGUGGGGAAUAUUGCACAAUGGGCGGAAGCCUGAUGCGGCGACGCCGCGUGCGGGAUGCCGGCCUUCGGGUUGUAAACCGCUUUCGACGGGGACGAAGAGAUAGUGACGGUACCUGAUAAAGAAGCACCGGCUAACUACGUG